CAGCAGCCGCGGGAAUACGUAGGGUGCAAGCGUUAAUCGGAAUUACUGGGCGUAAAGCGUGCGCAGGCGAUUUGUUAAGACAGAUGUGAAAUCCCCGGGCUCAACCUGGGAACUGCAUUUGUGACUGGCAAGCUAGAGUGUGGCAGAGGGGGGUGGAAUUCCGCGUGUAGCAGUGAAAUGCGCAGAUAUGCGGAGGAACACCGAUGGCGAAGGCAGCCCCCUGGGCCAACACUGACGCUGAGGCACGAAAGCGUGGGGAGCAAACAGGAUUAGAUACCCGCGUAGUCCCUGUCUCUUAUAC
rnacentral:rRNA from 1 species